GAGAAGAUUGCCUUAUGGGACAUCAGUGAGGCAGAGAUGCUAAUGAAACCACAGCAGCCAGCCCUGCAAAUGGGUCACCGUGCUUUAGGUUUGCUGAAGUACGGCCAAGGGACUGGAUUCUCCUUGAGAGGCAGGAAUUCCAAACCACACAAACUGCAUUUAGACACAUCUCAGCGUCACGCUCCUGCAUUCUGGGUCCAAUGCCCAGGUUACUGCAAGAGGAACUAAGAGGAACCAUUCAACACCAAGACACCAGAUGUGCAAGACGCCAGUACACUUUUUGCCGAUGGAGAAACUCCACUACUGACCGUAAGACCCUGAGCCCCCAAGCUGGGAUUCUUCAGCUGGGCUGCGGGCUGCACAGAGAGGGAGUUCUGUGUGGCCCCGGAAGCCUGUUUAAGGCCCAAUGCCUGGAGCUGAGCCUGAGAGGGAGAGGCUGAGGAUGCCCCCUGCUGGCUGCGAAUGGCAAGGUUCUGAACCUGAAACACAACAUGCAACACAGAUGCGCUACAAUCCACGUGUUUCGUGAAAGCACCAGCUGGGAGUGUUGGCGUGCGGUACCUGAUCAGAAGAAGACUGUUGACUAGAAGGUAGCGAGGAAGCCUCGGGGUGCAUGGCCGUGACGGUGGCGGUGGGGGUGAAGAUGAGCUGGAGGGACAAAGGAACAGGACAAUCCAGGCUACUAACUACCUUCACAAGGUUCUUUUGCCUGGAAACCACACAAUAAGGCACGACCGCACACAUCCUAUCCCAUAUCUCAGCCACUCUAUGAAACGAGGCUGGUAGCAGCAGGACCGCAUUUAGAAACGAUCAUUCAUGCACUGCGUUUUCUAUUUGGAGCACGUAAUAAAAAACACCAGCUCGUCUACGAAAAAGGGUGAGUAACGUGAACACGUGCAAAUGAAUUAUUCGGUACGUAAAGGGAAAAUCCCAUGCGGUGUUUCUCAGUCAGGAUGACAGAUAUCCAUUCUAUGGCUUUGACUUGAUUAAUUUCAUUAAUUUCAUGUAUUUAUGUGUGACAGUAGUGCUCAUUUUCACCCACUGGAGAAACACAGGAUUUCCGGCGUACAGUCAUUGUGGGGAGAAAAGUAUAAAAGGGUUUUUGUUCUUCCCUAUGGGUUCCCGUUAAGUUAUUAAGAAGUUACUGUACAACUAGCUUAAAUACCCUUGUUUAAUGGAAUGUUAAAUAAUACCCCCCCCCUCCCAGCCCCAGGCCAACAACCACACCAUCGUAGAAAACAGUGUGGUUCUCUUACAUUGUGACUCUGACUGUAACCCACAUUUGAGUAUAAUCUUCCAGACAGCUCUCAGACGGUGCUACUCUGAUUUCAUGGUGUGAAUUUGAUAUGCCAGUCUUUAGCCUGGGGAGGUAUUUAAUACAGACAUCACUCUGCACAAUGCAGACUACCUCUUUCAUUUGCAGUGUACUCAUUUAAACUGGUUACAACUGAAAAUAACGCAGAGAUAUAUAGACCUCUUCUUAAGGUCUAUAUAUUGUGCUUUAUAGAUCAAAUUGGGCUUUUCAAUCUACUCCUUGUAAUAAAAGCGUGAUGUUUCAAUAGCUCACAAAGACAUCCAGCAAGACUGGUUUGACUGGGAAAGUGUCACAGAAAAUAGAUUUAUGGGAAACCUGUAUUAACUAGUUCACACAUACUUUUUCCAACAAAUUAUUUAGAAAUCAGUUUUUAAAUGUUAAUGUCUUAAUAAGUAACCGAAGUACAACCUACUGUUUGGCAAUACUUCAGUUAAAGAUGUAUAUAUAAUAUAUUGGUUCUGAAAAUUAGACUGCUGAUCACAAUAGUUAAACGUUAAAACGUAUCUAAUUUUAAGCCACCUUGGAUGAAUUCUGUGUUUAUCAUGCGCAUCUCAGAAUCCAUUUCUGUACCUUAAAAGGUACAAUUACCUAAGCUAAGGGUACAGUUGGUAGACCCUUGUGGGUACAGCCCCAGUGACCAGCAAAAGUAUAAUUUGUAACCUUUUUCUGAGAGUGUAGAUUCAGUUAGGCUGCACGCUAACUUUUGGCUAAAUAAGAUAAAUGUUACUUAACCUGUUGCUUUAAACUAAUAUUUAUCUCUGUUGUUGACUGGCUGCUUCCAGUAGGUUGGAGGUUUCGAACUGGCAACCUUCCGAACAAGGGCAAACAGCCCUAUCCCACCAAGUCAGUCACCCCUCUCGAUCACACUUCCCCUCACAAAUAGCUUCUACAAGACUCCCUCUGCAGUCUUGUGGUCUGACAGCACUUACAGGGUUAACCUGAGAAUGCUGUUGUCUCACAAAUCAGAAUUUUAAACACCCAUAUACAGCCCCACUUCGCAACAUUGACUUUUGGGUUUAAGACCAAGAAUCAUCCACAUUUCCUUUUCUUCAAUACUGUCCUGCAACAGCUUGCUUCCUGAUGGGAGAGCACAGCAGUAUCUAAGCCAGUCUUUCAGCUGCAGGAAAACUAAAGUUUUCCUAUAAAAUGCAGAAUUAAUAGCGCUGUUUUCAGUGUUCACACUUGCUUUCCUCAGCCUGCUGGGGGCAGGGAAGUCUCCAUGUUGGACGGACGCCCGUUUGACCCAGGAAAACUUUGUUAGCUGAUAAUGCAGAAACAUUUCAGCACCUUCUCUGUUCAUAUUCCCAGCCUGCUCCAUUGAAUCUUAAUUUAAGUCCAAGGCUUUAUUUUUGCAGUGGGAAAAAAACAACAGUUUAUCCAAUGGAAAAAAUGAAUAUAUAUGACAAGUAGCCAUAUGUACACUGAACAAAAUAACACUCGACCAGCUAUUUUCAGCAACUUCUCAUAACUUUUGGCUCUCAUAUUUUUCCAAAAAGAAAAACUAUAGGAUAUUUCAGUUUUUCCUCGAUUGCUUUGGCACAUUUCAUGAAACACAUUUAACAUCCUCGAUGCUAUAAGAGCAUUUCUUAAAACACUUCAUGCAUACAUCACAACACUGGUUUGUAACUCAUGUCUCAAAAGCGAAUAAUUCCACCAAUGAAUCAGUCAGUGCCACCAAAAUGAAAAGAUCAAUAAGCAUCGUUUUAACCACGAGAGUCAAAAUGCUUAGAUAUAUUGUCGGUAGGGGUCACAUGUGUGUGGAGUUUGCAUGUUCUCCCCAUGUCGCCAUGGGGUUUCCUCCGGGUACUCCGGUUUCCCCCCACAGUCCAAAAACAUGCUGAGGCUAAUUGGAGUUACUAAAUUGCCCGUAGGUGUGCGUGUGAGAGUGAAUGGUGUGUGAGUGUGCCCUGUGAUGGGCUGCCCCCCCCCCCCAUCCAGGGUUGUUCCCUGCCUCGUGCCCAUUGCUUCCGGGAUAGGCUCCGGACCCCCCGCGACCCAGUAGGAUAAGCAGUUUGGAAAAUGGAUGGAUGGAUGUUGUCGGUAUGUCAGUGUCAGUCUGCUGCUCCUGAGCUCCACAAUGCUGAACAUUAGUCAUUUCCCACUUUCUCACUGUCACUGACUGAUCAUUUUUCUUUAGCAAACUGUUACUUAUUCAUGUCAAAGACCCCAGUUUCUAUGCUGCGAGGCUCUUCGUUACAGUGUGUAAAGUUCACUGGCAAGAGAAACCAUUUGCAUGCAUAUGUAAUUUCUUCAGAUCUCAAGACGCGGUACAGUAGCAAACAAAGUCACACAGCACAGUAUAACACAAAAUCAGCAAAAUGGUAACAAAAUAAUGUACCGUGGGAGCGAAAAAUUCAGUGCUGUAUCAUUGCAAUUUAUUGAAUAUAUUAUUUUGACAGCUUGGUUAACUGUUUUGCAUGUGGUGACUAACACGAUGAUCACAUACAAGGAUUGUGUUGACUGUAAAAUUAUUACAAUGGCAAACUACAUAAUCUGUUUUGACCAACCUGACUAAAGCAACUGAAAAUUGUGCCAAACGAUGGCAGUUGUACAAAACUAUUAGCAUAUAUGUAUGCUAAUUUACUAUUCACUAAAACAUUUGGAAAUUUAUGUGAAGCAAUGAGAAAUGAUGUUCUGCUGAGCAGAAGUGACAUUAUGGUGUGGGCAUUACACUUGUUUUGUUUUGCAAAUGCUAAUUGCCGUUUGAGAAAUGCUCCAAAGCAAAUCGAGAGAAACUGUAAAGCCAUAAUUCUCAAGCUCAUAUUAAAAAUGUAAAUCUAAAAAAAGAAAUAACCUUUAUAAUGUGCUUACAUUUUUGUUGGAAUGGUGUAAAGAAUCAGUGAAGCAUUAUCUGUUACACUGAAGAAUGUUCAGCCAGAUAUUAAUGGCUGGGUAGGUUAUUUGUCAGCAGACAGAGACUGUUUGAAAAUGUUUGGCAUAAUAAAUAACAAACAUGCAGAUACAGACACCAGAUGAAGCCGUAGUUCAAAGUCACGGACUGUACGUAAGAAUGUUACACACUGCGUCAUGGAUGACGCAUUUGCGUGGACACAAGCAAGCAAGCGAGUUCCGCGCAUAGAGACGCAGCCCAGGGCAGCAGAGGAACAGAGACCAUUAACAAGACGGAGAACGAUCUCAUUUGCUGUACGCUGCGUUCAAGUCUGCAUUACGCUUUUGGGGG